rnacentral:lncRNA from 1 species
UUUAAUUGAAGCACCAGGGAACCUCUUUUCUCUUUAGCCACGAGUCUUGGAGAACAUAAGUUUAGUAUUACCUGAAGCCAUGGAUUGAACUUGUGGGAACAGCUGGCCUGGGAGAAUGAAGCCAGUAUGAGGAAGCAGUGCUGAAGGGCAAGUUGAAGUUGUGGAAAUAACAGGCUUCUGAAGAGACUCACUCUGUUGUGGGUUCAAAUCUCAAUAUUGUGAUUCCUGGCUGGGUGAUCUUGGGCCUUAAUUUCUACAUUUGAGCAUUGGAAAUCACAUUGCAAGGAGAGAACAGACUUGUUUGUCAAGAACAAACACGCAGAGGUGAGAGAUCAGGAAACAGCGGGCCCAGGGAGCCAGGCUCUGCUUUGCUGAACACAGUUGGAAGGAGUGAGUCCAGCAGCCAGUCACCAUGAGGUGUCUCAGUGUCUGAGGAGAAUUUGUGUGAACUGUCAGCUGAAAGCAUCGACAGCUUCCCAUUAGUAAUGAAUUAUGGAAAUAAUUUUAUUAAUUUCUUCACCUCAAUCAGAACAUGUUAGUGAAAGUUGCUCAACCAAACAUCAAAGAACCAUUGCAUUUUAACCUUUUAGUCUUUUACCGUGUAACCAGGAACAGCGAAGAAAUAAAUUAGUGUAGCAUUCCUUUAAAAAAAAAAUGCCUGGAGAUAAGGAGUGGACAUAAUUUUUUCUGUUUUUAAUUUAAUAGCAGGUUUAUGGUUUUAUGCAAAGCCAUUCACAUUACAUUUGACCCUCUGGGAGCUGCUUUUUUUUUUUUUCUGUGGAUAUAAUUUUGAGUCUUUAAUAAUCUGUUGUUAAACCCAGUCUGAGUUUGAUUAAUGAAUUGUGAUGAACCGGUGCAUUAAUUUGCAGGUUUGGUCUAAUGCCCUAAAAGGCUGCUUUGUUGCUGGUUAUUAAUGCUCAACUCUUCAAGAGGAGCCAUGGGAUGGCAGUGUGUCCCAAGUAAUGAACAAGUUACACAUUUGAGCAGUCCCAAUGAUAGAGCUGUAGCUCUAGAAGUGACCAUGGAGCUACAUUAUUGAAAGAAAAAAAUCCUGAUUUAGCUUAAUGCCCUAGAACAGGGGGCCGCAGACCUCCAAAUCUACAGGUCUCUGGAUGGAAUUCAGGGGAAUCUGUGAAUUUCAAUAGGAAAAAAAUCUUUAAUUAAUCUCCAACUGAAAUUUAACAUUGUUCAAUUAUGAAUGUAGGUGACAACCAUAGUAUUCUUAGCUGUAUCUGUGACUUUGUCAUCUCUAGAAAUCACAAAUAUUUCCAGAACAUGUUAUAGAGAUGCAAGUACCUCACUAUGUCAUUUGGGCUUGUCACUACCUCAGAAUUAUAGUAAGUAUGAGGACAGCUGCCUGACUUGUUAUUUAAUGUAAUAAAGAAGUACAUAUUUUACUAUCUUG